GGGGCCAUAGCUCAGUCGGAAGAGCGCCUGUUUUGCAAACAGGAGGCCGGGAGUUCGAUCCUCCCUGGCUCCA
rnacentral:tRNA from 1 species